rnacentral:rRNA from 1 species
UACGUAGGGGGCAAGCGUUGUCCGGAUUUAUUGGGCGUAAAGAGCGUGUAGGCGGCCAGGUAGGUCCGUUGUGAAAACUGGAGGCUUAACCUCCAGCUGUCGAUGGAAACCAUCUGGCUAGAGUCCGGAAGAGGAGAGUGGAAUUCCCGGUGUAGCGGUGAAAUGCGCAGAUAUCGGGAAGAACACCCGUGGCUAAGGCGGCUCUCUAGUACGGUACUGACGCUGAGACGCGAAAGCGUGGGGAGCGAACAGG